rnacentral:pre_miRNA from 1 species
GUCACCUGGGAUCUUGUUAAAAAGCAGAUUCUAAUUCAGUAGGUUUGGGGUAAGACUUAAGAGUCUGCAUUUCUAUCAAGCUCCCAGAUGAUGCUAG